rnacentral:rRNA from 1 species
AGAGAGAGACAUGCGCGCAUAUCAAUAAGCGGAGGAAAAGAAACUAACAAGGAUUCCCCUAGUAACGGCGAGUGAAGUGGGAAGAGCUCAAAUUUGAAAUCUUAAAGGGUUUCCCUUUACGAAUUGUAGUUUAAAGAAGUGUUUUCUGUUGAGGUUUUGGUAAAAGUUCUUUGGAAUAGGACAUCAUAGAGGGUGAGAAUCCCGUAUUUGACCUUUACUUUCAACUUUGUGAUACACUUUCAAAGAGUCGGAUUGUUUGGGAAUGCAGUCCAAAAUGGGUGGUAAAUUUCAUCUAAAGCUAAAUAUUGGCGAGAGACCUGAUAGCGAACAAGUACCGUGAGGGAAAGAUGAAAAGAACUUUGAAAAGAGAGUAAACAGUACGUGAAAUUGUCAAAAGGGAAGCGUUUGACACCAGUGUUGUUUUUCUGAAAAUCAAUUAAAGAACUGUUUAUGCUAAGUUGUUUAGACUUUAUCAGCUAACUGUUUAGUUUUGAGCUUUUCUUUAAUGCACUUUUCAGUUAACAAGUCAACAUCAAUUUCUUUUGCUGUAAAAAAGCUUGAGGAAGGUGGCUUGAGAUUCGUCUUAAGUGUUUAUAGCCUCUUGCCUAUGCAAGUCGGAGAGAUUGAGGUCUGCAGCGUAGAUCCUUCGGGGCUAAAUGCAUUUGUGCUAAGUUAUAGCAUUUUAUAGACAACUUGUUGACUAUGAUUUGUCUUGUAGCUUACUCGCUUAUGUUAUUUUACCUACGCUUAGGAUGUUGAGCGCAUGUCUCUCUCU